rnacentral:rRNA from 1 species
GACGAACGCUGGCGGCGUGCUUAACACAUGCAAGUCGAACGGAAAGGCCUGCUUUCCCUUGUGGAUUGCGGGUGCUCGAGUGGCGAACGGGUGAGUAACACGUGAGUGAUCUGCCCCCAACUUGGGUAUAAGCCUGGGAAACUGGGUCUAAUUCCCGAUAGGACUGCAGGGUGGUGCCGGUGGUGGAAAACGAUUUUCUAGUGGUUGGGGAUGAGCUCGCGGCCUAUCAGCUUGUUGGUGGGGUAAUGGCCUACCAAGGCGGCGACGGGUAGCCGGCCUGAGAGGGUGGACGGCCACAUUGGGACUGAGAUACGGCCCAGACUCCUACGGGAGGCAGCAGUGGGGAAUAUUGCACAAUGGGCGGAAGCCUGAUGCAGCGACGCCGCGUGGGGGAUGACGGCCUUCGGGUUGUAAACUCCUUUCGACCGCGAGGAAGCCACCUGGUUGGAAGGGUGGUGACGGUAGUGGUAGAAGAAGCACCGGCUAACUACGU